UUGAAUGGACGACAAUCACGUGACAGUUAUACUGUUUCUGUAAUGUUGCUCAUUGCCAACAAGCUGGUAGGUGCUGGGCCAUGCUAAGGUGACAAUAUGGCGGCCGCUUGCUGGAUCUGUCAUAUAGCUGCAACAACAUGUUCUACAUUUUCACUGGAUGGGGUUUCAACGGUGCAUCUGUGUCUAAUGCCACACUCAGAUCACACUGCUGCUAAAAAUCACUGGUUCACCUGUUAACGAGCCACUAGCGAGCCGAGGUGUUACAGAAUACAGAAUAAUGUGUGAACGCUCCAAAAGUCACAGCAGGCCCUUUUCACAGCAGACAUUUUGACUCGUCAAGGCAGGACAAGCACAGGUGUGACUGCUGAUGUUAACGAUGACUCCGUCCUAUUUAGUGUGCUACUGAGUCCUGUCAGUGUGUGAGCUUGCACAAUACCAGAGUCCUGGAACUAGCUCAUCUAAAUGGAAUGCAGCCAUCAUUAAUGUUAUAAAUUCCACCUGUGCCUUUACAUCUUCAACAAGUCUGCUGUGACAAGGGUCUACAACAGGCGAUGUAGCUGGAUGAUUCCAAAACAACUGCUGAUGCUAACACGUCAAGCUAGCAUCCAUGACGCAAUGAACUUGUAGUGAAUUGUUUCUGGAAAUAUGAUGGCUGGGUUUUCUGUCCGUAAUCUCAACUGACUGUUGGAUCUACUACUAUAAUAGCAUGGAACAUAGGUUUAAUCAGAGCUUUUUCAUGACAAAGAGCGGCAUGCUACAGCUGAACACGGUGACAGCAGCUGAGAGAACCAACACUGUCAACUUACAGGCUGGAAAUGCAAAUCAAAGCACUGAAAGAUGCUAAAAUGCUUUGUCAGAGUUUGAUGAUCAUUUUCUAUGGGUUUCUCACUAUUAUAUACAGUCAACUGAUCUAAUGUUGAUGUAAAAAAAAAAAAAAAGAAAGAAAAA